UGUCAGCAGCCGCGGUAAUACGGAGGAUGCAAGCGUUGUCCGGAUUCAUUGGGUUUAAAGGGUGCGUAGGCGGAGAAUUAAGUCAGUGGUGAAAGCUUACAGCUUAACUGUAAAAAUGCCAUUGAAACUGAUUUUCUUGAGUUCGAUUGAGGUAGAUGGAAUGUAUCAUGUAGCGGUGAAAUGCUUAGAUAUGAUACAGAACACCAAUUGCGAAGGCAGUCUACUAAGUCGAUACUGACGCUGAGGCACGAAAGCAUGGGGAGCAAACAGGAUUAGAUACCCUGGUAGUCCAUGCCCUAAACGUUGAUUACUCGUUGUUGGCGAUAUACUGUCAGCGACUAAGCGAAAGCGUUAAGUAAUCCACCUGGGGAGUACGAUCGCAAGGUUGAAACUCAAAUGAAUUGACGG
rnacentral:rRNA from 1 species